GAUGAACGCUGGCGGCGUGCCUAAUACAUGCAAGUCGAGCGAACAGACGAGGAGCUUGCUCCUCUGACGUUAGCGGCGGACGGGUGAGUAACACGUGGAUAACCUACCUAUAAGACUGGGAUAACUUCGGGAAACCGGAGCUAAUACCGGAUAAUAUAUUGAACCGCAUGGUUCAAUAGUGAAAGUCGGUUUUUCUGUCACUUAUAGAUGGAUCCGCUCCGCAUUAGUUAGUUGGUAAGGUAACGGCUUACCAAGGCAACGAUGCGUAGCCGACCUGAGAGGGUGGUCGGCCACACUGGAACUGAGACACGGUCCAGACUCCUACGGGAGGCAGCAGUAGGGAAUCUUCCGCAAUGGGCGAGAGCCUGACGGAGCAACGCCGCGUGAGUGAUGAAGGUCUUCGGAUCGUAAAACUCUGUUAUUAGGGAAGAACAAAUGUGUAAGUAACUAUGCACGUCUUGACGGUACCUAAUCAGAAAGCCACGGCUAACUACGUG
rnacentral:rRNA from 1 species